rnacentral:lncRNA from 10 species
GGCUUAGAGGACCAGGACAAGGGCUAGCCACCGCUGCAUGCUGGAGGCUGUGGCUGCGGCACCACAGCUCGCCUCGCUGCGGUUGGUGGCAGCGACGGAGACUGCAGUGUGGCUGGAGCGCCCAGGGAUGCAGGGGAGGUCCCAGCAAGUGGCCACGCCAGCUGCUGCCCUUCUCCCCUGGCCAUUGACACAUCUGGUUCACCUCAGCAUCCCUAGGUGUUACGAGGAGGGCAGAGUGUAGCCAGCCCUGGCCUGGGAAUGCACCAACACGGGGUCCCUGCUGUGGUCAUGGACAUGUUCACCCAUGUGGACAUCUUCAAAGACCUGCUGGAUGCCGGCUUCAAGAGGAAAGCAGAUUUGUACAUCAUCGUGGACGGGAGUAAAGUCAAGUACGUUCUGCAUAUGUGUGAGCAGACCCGCAUGCACCUGGGGCACCUCAAGGCAUCCUCUGAAGAUCUUGAAAUGUAUCCCCUAUGGAUAAAGGAGGACUACUAUAUUCUCAAUGGAUUUUGCAAGAAGAAAAUUAAUCAUUCACAAAAUAUUUUAACCUUAGAAUUUAAAUAAAUGUGUAUAUUCUCUACAAGUUAAACACAAA